rnacentral:lncRNA from 1 species
UAGAUGUCUAAAACAUUCAUUUGAAAUGAAAUUAUGACUAUUUGAAUAUAAUAAAAAUAUUCAAUAAAAUAUUCUAUUUUCUUAUAAAACAAUAUUUAUAGAGUUACCGGUAAAUAAUUUUUUUAGCGUAAAAGUUAAAUAAAUUCAUACAUACUGUAAUACAGAUAACCAAAGUAUAAAAUUUAAUUUAUAAUGACACGUGGCCCACGAACGACCAAAAGUAUCAAAA